rnacentral:tRNA from 1 species
GGACAGGUGCCAGAGUGGUUGAUUGGGCUCGCCUGGAAAGCGUGUAACGCCUUAAAACGUUCGAGGGUUCGAAUCCCUCCCUGUCCG